GACGAACGCUGGCGGCGUGCCUAAUACAUGCAAGUAGAACGCUGAAGAGAGGAGCUUGCUCUUCUUGGAUGAGUUGCGAACGGGUGAGUAACGCGUAGGUAACCUGCCUUGUAGCGGGGGAUAACUAUUGGAAACGAUAGCUAAUACCGCAUAACAAUGGAUGACACAUGUCAUUUAUUUGAAAGGGGCAAUUGCUCCACUGCAAGAUGGACCUGCGUUGUAUUAGCUAGUAGGUGAGGUAAUGGCUCACCUAGGCGACGAUACAUAGCCGACCUGAGAGGGUGAUCGGCCACACUGGGACUGAGACACGGCCCAGACUCCUACGGGAGGCAGCAGUAGGGAAUCUUCGGCAAUGGGGGCAACCCUGACCGAGCAACGCCGCGUGAGUGAAGAAGGUUUUCGGAUCGUAAAGCUCUGUUGUAAGUCAAGAACGGGUGUGAGAGUGGAAAGUUCACACUGUGACGGUAGCUUACCAGAAAGGGACGGCUAACUACGU
rnacentral:rRNA from 1 species